ACAUCAAGGUUAUUUACAUAGAUUUUGCUGGAGGGAAGGGUAUUGCUUAUCCAACAGAAAGUAAAUCCACUUUUCUUGUUUUUUCCUUAAAAAUUUUUUUUUUUCUUUUUUCUUCUCUAGAGCAUUGGAGACAACUCAGCAUCCAUCUUUUUGGAACCUGAUGCUGAGCUCCAGUGCCUCAUGUCCCUGAUCACAGUGGCCUCUAACCCAUGGCUCAUCCAAAUCCCUCAGGGCUCAGGUCAAACUCAGCCAGAAGCCUGGAUUCAGGUCUGGGGUUCUACAGCUAAUAAGGCCACGUAGAGCUUGGACAACAUUAGAAAGAAACCCCCAGAGAAGUUUAAAGCAUGAAAAUUGAAUUUCUGACAAAAGGCCAACCUAACUUGGACUCUUUCCUCUGGAGAAGAAAAGCCAUCAAGUAUGUGAAAGACCACUCCACAGAAGGUUGUGGAUAAUUGUUCUGUCUCUACUAAGAAUAAAACUGGUGGAAAAACAUUUAACUGCUACA
rnacentral:lncRNA from 12 species